UGUGUAAAACUUAUUAGAAAGAAAGAAAGAAAGAAAAGUUCUUUAUUGGCCAUUAUCAUUUAAAAUAUUAAUAUUACAAUUAAGUUAGAAGGCCAACCAGGUCUCUGCCUCAGCAUUGCUUAGCAGCAAAUUGUUACUGCUAAGGCGCUGCUCUUCCGUCAGAGCCUGCAUCGGCGAC